GUUUUGAGUAACGGGCUAUUCAACUACUGUUAAAUUUUGAUUUUAAUUAAACGCUUCUCAUUGCUAUUCUGAAGAACACUUAUUUCAUCUGAUGUGCAGAAUUUUUUAUUGGUGUGUGAUCCAACAAUGCCAGACAAAAUGUUAAUUGAGAAAUUUUUGAUCCCUUCGUUAGAAGGCAACUUUCAAACACCUAUUGACCCAUGUCAAUAGGGACGAAGGAAUCUUUAAAAUUUUCUGGCAACACAAAUUCCUUGAACUGGAAGGAAGAUUUCCAAGUUUUCAAAGCAUGGGAUUUAAUGAAAGGAAGGAGGGCCAGCAAUGACCUCAUAUAUUUUACCGACAGCAAGCACCGUUUUGCGAAAGCAUAGCUGCGUAAAAUUUUUGAAGUCUUCUGAAAAGAAAUACAAGUUUUUUCAACUGACAAAUUUUAGGUUCUGUGAAAACUUGUGUGUAACCAUGACCGCCUGGAAGAUCCAAUUGCUGAUAUAACGAAUUAUCACCUAUUUACAUUUCUAAUGCAUGACUUUUAAAAAUUUAGUUCCACUGUUGGAAGGAAAGUUUUACGGCCAGCUCUACCGGACACUGAUCGGAUGCCGACGAAUCUAUGACUCCCGGACUUCGGCAAAACCAGUGUCAGAAUGGAUGAUAAUAGAACCUUCAAGAAAUUUAUGUUUAUUAGGUCACGACUGAAGAUCUUUUACUGCUGUACCACGUGAACUAGAAGCCGCGAGACCUCGAGGCAGUUCUUUGAGUACAGUUCAGGUAAUUAGUGGAACGAGUUCUCUCCCUGGCUACUUCGAGCUGCCUAUCAUUGUUGUUCUGCUAUGUUUCUUGCUGUCUGCUAGAAUUGCUAUUGUUUAUUGCUUACGUGCGUCUGGGCAGUGUCUUUGUCUUCCGUGUAUUUGUGUUAAUAAAC